GAUGAACGCUGGCGGCGUGCCUAAUACAUGCAAGUCGAGCGAACGGACGAGAAGCUUGCUUCUCUGAUGUUAGCGGCGGACGGGUGAGUAACACGUGGAUAACCUACCUAUAAGACUGGGAUCACUUCGGGAAACCGUAGCUAAUACCGGAUAAUAUUCUGAACCGCAUGGUUCAAAAGUGAAAGACGGUCUUGCUGUCACUUAUAGAUGGAUCCGGGCUGCAUUAGCUAGUUGGUAAGGUAACGGCCUAUCAAGGCAACGAUGCAUGGCCGACCUGAGAGGGGGAUCGGCCACACUAGAACUGAGACACGGUCCAGGCUCCUACGGGAGGCAGCAGUAGGGAAUGUGCCGCAGUAGUCGGAAGCCUGACGGAGCAACGCCGCGUGAGAGAUGAAGGUCUUCGGAUCGUAAAACUCUGUUAUGAGUGAAGAACAUAUGUGUAAGGAACUGUACACAUCUUGACGGUACCUAAUCAGAAAGCCACGGCUAACUACGUG
rnacentral:rRNA from 1 species